CCUGGCGGCCGUAGCGCGGUGGUCCCACCUGACCCCAUGCCGAACUCAGAAGUGAAACGCCGUAGCGCCGAUGGUAGUGUGGGGUCUCCCCAUGCGAGAGU
rnacentral:rRNA from 9 species